AAACUCAAAGGAAUUGACGGGGACCCGCACAAGCGGUGGAUGAUGUGGAUUAAUUCGAUGCAACGCGAAAAACCUUACCUGCUCUUGACAUGUCUGGAAUCCCUGAGAGAUUAGGGAGUGCCCGAAAGGGAAUCAGAACACAGGUGCUGCAUGGCUGUCGUCAGCUCGUGUCGUGAGAUGUUGGGUUAAGUCCCGCAACGAGCGCAACCCUUGUCAUUAGUUGCCAUCAUUAAGUUGGGCACUCUAAUGAGACUGCCGGUGACAAACCGGAGGAAGGUGGGGAUGACGUCAAGUCCUCAUGGCCCUUAUGAGCAGGGCUUCACACGUCAUACAAUGGUCGGUACAGAGGGUUGCCAAGCCGCAAGGUGGAGCUAAUCUCAGAAAGCCGAUCGUAGUCCGGAUCGUACUCUGCAACUCGAGUACGUGAAGUCGGAAUCGCUAGUAAUCGCGGAUCAGCAUGUCGCGGUGAAUACGUUCCCGGGUCUUGUACACACCGCCCGUCACACCAUGGGAGUGGGGGAUACCAGAAGUGGGUAGACUAAC
rnacentral:rRNA from 1 species